CAUUUUCCAAGAAUGGCUAUGAACAUUUUUAUGGAGAAUUAAAACUAUUCAGAGAUGCAGUGCUAAAGAAAGGCGAUCAUCAUUUGGAGCUUUGGCGGAAGGACCAUCUGAUGAAGACAAGUCGGGAGGACCAACUGUUGGACGAGUUACCCAAUUCCAUCCAGAGAUUGUCCUGUCUUGGAAGC